GAUGAACGCUGGCGGCGUGCCUAAUACAUGCAAGUCGAGCGAACAGACGAGGAGCUUGCUCCUCUGACGUUAGCGGCGGACGGGUGAGUAACACGUGGAUAACCUACCUAUAAGACUGGGAUAACUUCGGGAAACCGGAGCUAAUACCGGAUAAUAUAUUGAACCGCAUGGUUCAAUAGUGAAAGACGGUUUUGCUGUCACUUAUAGAUGGAUCCGCGCCGCAUUAGCUAGUUGGUAAGGUAACGGCUUACCAAGGCAACGAUGCGUAGCCGACCUGAGAGGGUGAUCGGCCACAUGGGAACUGAGACACGGUCCAGACUCCUAAGGGAGGCAGCAGUAGGGAAUCUUCCGCAAUGGGCGAAAGCCUGACGGAGCAACGCCGCGUGAGUGAUGAAGGUCUUCGGAUCGUAAAACUCUGUUAUUAGGGAAGAACAAAUGUGUAAGUAACUAUGCACGUCUUGACGGUACCUAAUCAGAAAGCCACGGCUAACUACGUG
rnacentral:rRNA from 1 species